ensembl:snRNA U6 U6 spliceosomal RNA
GUGCUUGCUCUGGCAGCAUAUACACUGAAAUUGCAAUGAUACAGGGAAGAUUAGCAUGGUCCCAGCGCAAGGAUGACAAAAUGCAGUUCAAGUCUCAGACCAGGCGGUU